rnacentral:misc_RNA from 1 species
GAAAUGCGAUAAGUAAUGUGAAUUGCAGAAUUCAGUGAAUCUUCGAAUCUUUGAACGCACAUUGCGCCCCCUGGUAUUCCGGGGGGCAUGCCUGUUCGAGCGUCAUUUCACCACUCAAGCCUCGCUUGGUAUUGGGCGACGCGGUCCGCCGCGCGCCUCAAAUCGACCGGCUGGGUCUUUCGUCCCCUCAGCGUUGUGGAAACUAUUCGCUAAAGGGUGCCGCGGGAGGCCACGCCGUAAAACAACCCCAUUUCUAAGGUUGACCUCGGAUCAGGUAGGGAUACCCGCUGAACUUAAGC